rnacentral:snRNA from 1 species
AUACUUACCUGGCGCGGGGGAUACCGUGAUCAAGAAGGCGGUGCCUCCAGGACGAGGCCUGUACAUUGCACUCCGUAUGGGCUGACUCCUGCGACUACCCAAAUCGGGGUGGCUCGAGCGCAUAAUUUUUGGUAGUGGGGACAAGCGUUUCGCGCUGUCCCUU